rnacentral:rRNA from 1 species
UCAAAACUUUCAACAACGGAUCUCUUGGCUGUGGCAUCGAUGAAGAACGCAGCGAAAUGCGAUAACUAAUGUGAAUUGCAGAAUUCAGUGAAUCAUCGAGUCUUUGAACGCACAUUGCGCCCGCUGGUAUUCCGGCGGGCAUGCCUGUCCGAGCGUCAUUUCGUC